rnacentral:misc_RNA from 1 species
GAUGAAGAACGUAGCGAAAUGCGAUAAGUAGUGUGAAUUGCAGAAUUCAGUGAAUCAUCGAAUCUUUGAACGCACAUUGCGCCCCUUGGUAUUCCAUGGGGCAUGCCUGUUCGAGCGUCAUCUACACCCUCAAGCACAGCUUGGUGAUGGGCGCCUGUCCCGCCCCCCACGGGGGCGCGGACUCGCCUCAAAUGCAUUGGCGGCCGGCGACCUGGCUUCGAGCGCAGCAGAAACGCGUACUCGGGGACCGGGCGCCCGCUCCCAGAAGCCAACCCACCCAGUUUGACCUCGGAUCAGGUAGGGAUACCCGCUGAACUUAAGCAUAUCAAUAAGCGGAGGA